rnacentral:rRNA from 1 species
GGCCAGACUCCUACGGGAGGCAGCAGUGGGGAAUAUUGCACAAUGGGGGAAACCCUGAUGCAGCGACGCCGCGUGAGUGAAGAAGUAUUUCGGUAUGUAAAGCUCUAUCAGCAGGGAAGAAAAUGACGGUACCUGAUUAAGAAGCCCCGGCUAACUACGUGCCAGCAGCCGCGGUAAUACGUAGGGGGCAAGCGUUAUCCGGAAUUACUGGGUGUAAAGGGAGCGUAGACGGUGAAGUAAGUCUGGAGUGAAAGGCGGGGGCCCAACCCCCGGACUGCUCUGGAAACUAUUUGACUGGAGUGCAGGAGAGGUAAGCGGAAUUCCUAGUGUAGCGGUGAAAUGCGUAGAUAUUAGGAGGAACACCAGUGGCGAAGGCGGCUUACUGGACUGUAACUGACGUUGAGGCUCGAAAGCGUGGGGAGCAAACAGGAUUAGAUACCCCUGUAGG